AUUCCUCUCUCUUCUUCGCCCCUUCGGCUUUUGUAAAUGCUCGAGACUCGAGAAGCACCAGCUAGGGUUACAGAAAGAUAUCUUUUGCCCUGUCAACUCCUCUCAGCUGAGAGAACUUUAAUUGAUCAAUGUUCAACUCAGAUCAUAGAGCAGUUCCUUUUUGUUAAGGGUCCAUGAAGAUGCUAUGGAGAUGAUCCGGUUAUUGAUGAAUGCUGCCCAGCUUCAAGCUGCAGGUGGCUCAUCGUUUUCUUAACACAGGACAUGAUUUUCCCCUUACUCAUCUGAGACUCUUCCAAUGCUUCAUCAAUCAUAUCUGUGUGUUUUUAAAUAGUUGUGUGCUUAAAUAGUUCUGUACUUUCACUAAAUAUGUGUUCUGAAAUGGUCUAGGUGUGAUUUUCAUUAUUUUGCAUGAAACCUUUUGUGACA